rnacentral:rRNA from 1 species
ACACUCCUACGGGAGGCAGCAGUGGGGAAUUUUGGACAAUGGGCGAAAGCCUGAUCCAGCAAUGCCGCGUGAGUGAAGAAGGCCUUCGGGUUGUAAAGCUCUUUUGUCAGGGAAGAAACGGUGAGAGCUAAUAUCUCUUGCUAAUGACGGUACCUGAAGAAUAAGCACCGGCUAACUACGUGCCAGCAGCCGCGGUAAUACGUAGGGUGCAAGCGUUAAUCGGAAUUACUGGGCGUAAAGCGUGCGCAGGCGGUUUUGUAAGUCUGAUGUGAAAUCCCCGGCUCAACCUGGGAAUUGCAUUGGAGACUGCAAGGCUAGAAUCUGGCAGAGGGGGGUAGAAUUCCACGUGUAGCAGUGAAAUGCGUAGAUAUGUGGAGGAACACCGAUGGCGAAGGCAGCCCCCUGGGUCAAGAUUGACGCUCAUGCACGAAAGCGUGGGGAGCAAACAGGAUUAGAUACCCCAGUAGUCCCAUGA